rnacentral:rRNA from 1 species
CAGUCGAGCGGACAGAUGGGAGCUUGCUCCCUGAUGUUAGCGGCGGACGGGUGAGUAACACGUGGGUAACCUGCCUGUAAGACUGGGAUAACUCCGGGAAACCGGGGCUAAUACCGGAUGCUUGUUUGAACCGCAUGGUUCAAGCAUAAAAGGUGGCUUCGGCUACCACUUACAGAUGGACCCGCGGCGCAUUAGCUAGUUGGUGAGGUAAUGGCUCACCAAGGCAACGAUGCGUAGCCGACCUGAGAGGGUGAUCGGCCACACUGGGACUGAGACACGGCCCAGACUCCUACGGGAGGCAGCAGUAGGGAAUCUUCCGCAAUGGACGAAAGUCUGACGGAGCAACGCCGCGUGAGUGAUGAAGGUUUUCGGAUCGUAAAGCUCUGUUGUUAGGGAAGAACAAGUACCGUUCGAAUAGGGCGGUACCUUGACGGUACCUAACCAGAAAGCCACGGCUAACUACGUGCCAGCAGCCGCGGUAAUACGUAGGUGGCAAGCGUUGUCCGGAAUUAUUGGGCGUAAAGGGCUCGCAGGCGGUUUCUUAAGUCUGAUGUGAAAGCCCCCGGCUCAACCGGGGAGGGUCAUU